UAUUAUCGAUCAUUUUAACCUUUUAUCAUUAAAAAUAACGUGUAAAUUUAUUUCUGUAUAACUCUUAUGGUUAUUGUUGAGUAAUACAUUGAUUCACUCAUCUAAGUUGAUCAAAAUUUACGUCAGUCCAACACGAAAAGUUCUGUCUGACUGGAAACGUGGGUUUUAAUGUAGUGAAUUGAGGUUACGAGCAGUCAGUUUUCUCAUUUUUGCUCAGCGAGCCAUCACUCAAACAACAAGGCAGUAAAUGGAAUAAACGCUUUUCAGCAGUGUCCAGUCAUACGGAAGGUCGGCGAAGCUAAAGAAAAUACCGAUAAAAAAAUUACCGAUAAUACAGAUAAAUACCGAUAAAUAUACCAGUAUUUUUACCUAAAGAAACCUUUACAAAAUUUAUAAAAGAAACAUUACCCAGAAUAUAAUAAUACCAAAAAGAUUAUAACAUUUUAACGAUAAAUUAUAAUUCAUUUCACAAUCUCACCGGAGGAAUAAUUUAAUUUUUUCAAGUACA